GUGAUGCGUGCUGCAAGAGACAUCGCAGCUGCUCCGAUAACUUUUCUCCCCAGACUGCCUUACAGCAGGCCUCUGGGCUGGAGGGUGGGCUCAGUAUUGCCCGAAACCAUCCCUCGCCUCUCCUGCGCGGUGUAUCCUGCCGGGGACAGCGAUUCCCACUCUCCGUUAUUGACAGGUACAAACUUCUUCAGACCAAACUUUUGAAAGAGAUCUGAGGACAGGACUUUGAAACUUGGGCAGUCGGAAUCCCUUCGAGCUCUGUAUUUCCACCUGAUGGCCCUCAAAGCAUUCUAAACACUGCAAAAGGAACGAGAGGAUGGAGCAUCGAUGUUUUUUUCGUCGCAGAAAUUCUUUCUUGGGGUCACAAGCAGACCUAGCUGCCUGCAAAUCCCAGUAAAACAGAGUUUCUGCUUCCUGGUAUCUCACCAUCAUUUGGAUAACGUAAAUUGAGUGCAACAGUCCAAAUGAGAAGCACAGCUACCUUGAAGCUCGCAGCCUUGAAGGAUGCUAGCAGAGCCGAAAGACAUCCGGGGCUCUAUGCAGACACUCUCAUGUGCGUGCCCACUUCCACAUCAGAUGCAAUACUCGCAGUGCGACACAUCUGAAAUGGAGUGCAGAGGAAAGUGAGACCUGUUGGAGCAGCACCCAGAGGCCAAGUGUCUCUGUUCCCUGAAUUCACUGCAACAUAAACGAGUAUUGGACCUCUCCUAGUUGGUGAAGACAGGAAGAUGCUUUUGAAAGCAUCCACAGAGACAUCCUUAGACUCCUAAACUUAAGGAAAUAGCAUUUUCUUCUAAGACUGUGAAAGCUUUGUCUUCCUUGAAAAGGCAAAUGCUUCCUUGAAAAAAGAGUUGUUUUACCAGCAGUUUACUUACAAGUUGUGUGUCUCGGUAUCACAGAGAGGAUCCCACCCAAACUAGAAACAUUUCUUUCAACAAGACUACUGUGAUCUUUUUUAUAAUGAAAAGAAAAAGAAAGUAAAAAAUAUUCAAAUGGCCAUCUGGGAUUUCUUGGAAGAAGUCAUUUUUCCUGUUUAGAGUGGAAGCUUUAAAAUACAUGGAAAAAAUUGCCAAGGCUGUGCCUAACUUACAGUUGUUUUUAGUUUUUUUUGUUUGGUUGGUUGUUGUUGGUUUUGGGGUUGGUUUUUUUUGCAUGUAUGUUAGGAUUUAAAAGAUCUCUGACACAUAUGAGUGGAAGAGAAACAAACCACUCAAUUUGUAAAUUUUCUAUCAAAAGUACUCAAUGACUGUUUUCAAGUUAAUUACUUUGCAGUGAUGGCUGUGCUUAGGUCAUCAGACUGUUUUCUACGCUCCUGAAUUAUGGCCCGGUCUUGCAAAAUAUAUUCUGCUAAACACUCCAUUGAAGCUACAGGAUUUAUUUACAUAAAUUAAUCCCCAUCUCUUUUCGUGUUUAAUAAAAUCUAAGUGUACUAUAGUGCUGUAGAA